rnacentral:rRNA from 1 species
AUUGAACGCUGGCGGCAUGCCUUACACAUGCAAGUCGAACGGCAGCGCGGGAGCAAUCCUGGCGGCGAGUGGCGAACGGGUGAGUAAUAUAUCGGAACGUGCCCAUUAUUGGGGGAUAGCCCGGCGAAAGCCGGAUUAAUACCGCAUACGACCUGAGGGUGAAAGCGGGGGAUCGCAAGACCUCGCGCUAUUGGAGCGGCCGAUAUCAGAUUAGCUAGUUGGUGGGGUAAAGGCCUACCAAGGCAACGAUCUGUAGUUGGUCUGAGAGGACGACCAGCCACACUGGGACUGAGACACGGCCCAGACUCCUACGGGAGGCAGCAGUGGGGAAUUUUGGACAAUGGGCGCAAGCCUGAUUCAGCAAUGCCGCGUGCAGGAAGAAGGCCUUCGGGUUGUAAACUGCUUUUGUCAGGGAAGAAAUCCUUUGGGCUAAUACCUCGGAGGGAUGACGGUACCUGAAGGAUAAGUACCGGCUAACUACGUGCCAGCCGCCGCGGUAA